GAGAGAGAGAGAGAAAGAAAAAACAUAGAGGAAGUGUGCGAAUGGCACAUUGCCUUUUCGUCCAGCGUGAGAUUGACCCUGGCACACUUCUCUUGCUGAAAACACAUGCACUCAUAUGCCUAGUGGUUUUGAGCAACGUCACCACUGCCCUCUUACGUAACUGGAGUCUUUAAAAGUGACAAAUGUUGCCUAAGUCAGACGUGAUUGUUGUUGUUAGUGUGCGUCUGUGCAUAUUUAUUCUAUUUAGUCCUAAAUGCUCACAUCUAGUGAAAAUAUUAAUGUCUUUUAAAUGUGUAUUUGAAACACUUUUUAACUUGACUGCUUAUGGUGUAAAUAAUUAUGCAUAUUUUGCGGCAGAAGUAAAAGUAGGCGUUCUUUGAUUCAACAUUAGCAAGAUGUUAAGAGAGAUACGGAAGCUUAAGGUUUCCUUGUAAUCCUAACUGUCACCACCACCGCCCAGUUAGAAAUGAUAGCUGAUGACCUCACUCAAGUAUUUCCUCUCUUGGCUUUUCAACAAUGUGGUGCUGUACUUGUUCCUGUUUGUGUUGCUGUGGUCCAAUGACAUGUUUUUUCAAAGAAGCUAUAGAAAGCACCCCUGUAGAUCUUCGAAGCAGGACAAUAUUCCAGAUCCUUGAUGAGAUGAAAGAUCACUUCCAAAGGAGAUCUUGUGCACUUGCCUUUUAAGCUGUAGUCUUGCUUUCACAGAUCCCAAAUGCCCUUUGAAAUCCUUGACCUUUGAGUUGAAGGAAGAGGGAUGGGAGGUCAGCAUUGCUUCCCUGUUUUGGCAAAAGUAAUGCAUUUGAGAAAUGUGCGAAAGGAAGUCUGUUUUAACAAGAUUUAACCAGGCAAAAUUUGCAGUCUUACUUGAGCAUUGCUGACAGUGUUGACAUAAUGACUAACCCUGUUUAGGCAGUUAUGUCACUAGGCCGGUGAAGGGAGUAAUAGCUGGGGGAUGGGAGAACAGACAUCCAGGAUCUAAUGGUUGUAUCAAUGUGUUUGAAUGUAUUUGUGUGUGUGUGUGUGUGUGUGUGUGUGUGUGUGUGUGGUGUUUGAACCAGUAUGGGGGUUGUAGAACAUGUGGUCGGCAGUUAUUAAUCUACUGCUGGUUUCGAGAGUGUAUGGAGGGGGCACCAGGGGCCCGUUGGUUCUGCUUGAGUGACAUGCAAAUCACCUCACAGUCUUCUGUGCUGAGAGAUGAUGUCAUUGUACAGGCCAUUGCCAUUAAUAGCAGGAAACAGGACCAGGAUCCCCCAAACAAACA